rnacentral:rRNA from 1 species
UACGGGGGGGAGCAAGCGUUGUUCGGAUUUACUGGGCGUAAAGGGCGGGUAGGCGGCCACCGCAAGUCAGUUGUGAAAUCUCCGGGCUUAACCCGGAAAGGUCAACUGAUACUGUGCGACUAGAGUGCGGAAGGGGCAACUGGAAUUCUUGGUGUAGCGGUGAAAUGCGUAGAUAUCAAGAGGAACACCUGCGGCGAAGGCGGGUUGCUGGGCCGACACUGACGCUGAGGCGCGAAAGCCAGGGGAGCGAACGGGG